rnacentral:rRNA from 1 species
UAGGGAAUCUUCGGCAAUGGACGAAAGUCUGACCGAGCAACGCCGCGUGAGUGAAGAAGGUUUUCGGAUCGUAAACUCUGUUGUUAGAGAAGAACAAGGGUGAGAGUAACUGUUCACCCCUUGACGGUAUCUAACCAGAAAGCCACGGCUAACUCCGUGCCAG